rnacentral:rRNA from 1 species
GAGGCUGUGAAGCGGAGCAAAUCUCAAAAACCGGUCCCAGUUCGGAUUGUAGGCUGCAACUCGCCUACAUGAAGUCGGAGUUGCUAGUAAUCGCGGAUCAGAAUGCCGCGGUGAAUGCGUUCCCGGGUCUUGUACACACCGCCCGUCACACCAUGGAAGUUGGGGGCGCCCGAAGUUGCCUAAGAAAUAAGGUACCUAAGGCGAAACCAAUGACUGGGGUGAAGUCGUAACAAGGUAAC